AACGGCCGCGGUAUCCUAACCGUGCGAAGGUAGCGUAAUCACUUGUUCUUUAAAUAAGGACUAGUAUGAAUGGCACCACGAGGGUUAAACUGUCUCCUUUUUUUAAUCAGUGAAACUAAUCUCCCCGUGAAGAAGCGGGGAUUCUUUUAUAAGACGAGAAGACCCUAUGGAGCUUUAAACAAGUUAACACCUGCUACUAAUCNNUUCACUUUCCUGAACCACCACAUUAAGUAUAGCACCUCUGAUUAACAGUUUUCGAUUGGGGUGAUCAUGGAGCAAAAAUCAACCUCCACGACGAAAAGGAACACCUCCUUGAGCCAAAAGCUACAACUUUAGGCACUAAAAAACUAACGCACUUUGACCCAAUUCUUUGAGCAACGAACCAAGUUACCCUAGGGAUAACAGCGCAAUCCACUUUAAGAGCCCCUAUCGACAAGUGGGUUUACGACCUCGAUGUUGGAUCAGGGUAUCCCAGUGGUGCAGCCGCUACUAAAGGUUCGUUUGUUCAACGAUUAAAACCCUACGUGAUCUGAGUUCAGACCGGAGUAAUCCAGGUCAGUUUCUAUCUAUAAAGGGCUUUUUCUAGUACGAAAGGACCGAAAAAGCAUGGCCUAUAACCCAUCAAGCCAUAUAAAUUACUAUUGUUCCCAACUUAAAUAGAAGUAAACCUACCACUUAUCUCGAUAAAAGAGAAGUUAACGUAGCAUAACCUGGCCUUGCAG
rnacentral:rRNA from 1 species